UAUCCGGAUUUAUUGGGUUUAAAGGGUGCGUAGGCGGUCUGAUAAGUUAGAGGUGAAAUCCCGGGGCUUAACUCCGGAAUUGCCUCUGAUACUGUUGGGCUAGAGAGUAGUUGCGGUAGGCGGAAUGUAUGGUGUAGCGGUGAAAUGCUUAGAGAUCAUACAGAACACCGAUUGCGAAGGCAGCUUACCAAACUAUAUCUGACGUUGAGGCACGAAAGCGUGGGGAGCAAACAGGAUUAGAUACCCUGGUAGUCCACGCAGUAAACGAUGAUAACUCGUUGUCGGCGAUACACAGUCGGUGACUAAGCGAAAGCGAUAAGUUAUCCACCUGGGGAGUACGUUCGCAAGAAUGAAACUCAAAGGAAUUGACGGGGGCCCGCACAAGCGGAGGAACAUGUGGUUUAAUUCGAUGAUACGCGAGGAACCUUACCCGGGCUUGAAAGUUACUGACGAUUCUGGAAACAGGAUUUCCCUUCGGGGCAGGAAACUAGGUGCUGCAUGGUUGUCGUCAGCUCGUGCCGUGAGGUGUCGGGUUAAGUCCCAUAACGAGCGCAACCCCUACCGUUAGUUGCCAUCAGGUCAAGCUGGGCACUCUGGCGGGACUGCCGGUGUAAGCCGAGAGGAAGGUGGGGAUGACGUCAAAUCAGCACGGCCCUUACGUCCGGGGCUACACACGUGUUACAAUGGUAGGUACAGAGGGCAGCUACCCAGCGAUGGGAUGCGAAUCUCGAAAGCCUAUCUCAGUUCGGAUUGGAGGCUGAAACCCGCCUCCAUGAAGUUGGAUUCGCUAGUAAUCGCGCAUCAGCCAU
rnacentral:rRNA from 1 species